CACGUAGGCACCAAGCGUUAUCCGGAUUUAUUGGGCGUAAAGAGCUCGUAGGCGGUUCAGUCAGUCGGGUGUGAAAACUUGAGGCUUAACCUCAAGAGGUCACUCGAUACUACUGUGACUAGAGUGCGGUAGGGGAGCGGGGAAUUCCUGGUGUAGCGGUGAAAUGCGCAGAUAUCAGGAGGAACACCAGUGGCGAAGGCGCCGCUCUGGGCCGUAACUGACGCUGAGGAGCGAAAGCAUGGGUAGCAAACAGG
rnacentral:rRNA from 1 species